rnacentral:tRNA from 1 species
CGCGGGGUGGAGCAGCCUGGUAGCUCGUCGGGCUCCUAACCCGAAGGUCGUCGGUUCAAAUCCGGCCCCCGCAACCA